rnacentral:tRNA from 1 species
GCCGAGGUGGCGCAACCUGGUACCGCGCCGGUCUCGAAAACCGGUUUCCGCAAGGAUGUAGGGGUUCAAAUCCUCUCCUCGGCG